AAUUAACAGGAGAAAAAGCAAACAAAUUUAUUUGAUCAUAAUUGUAUGUGAGCCCUCAGAAUGAAGACCCCAAGAUACAGGGGAAUUGUCCAUUUUUAUGUUUAGGUUCAACAGAUUAUGGACUGUGUAGAAAUAUGAUUGGACAAGAAGGGUAUGAUCUAAUAGUAAUAGACUGAGAGGGGAAACCCAGCAAGGCUGUCUAGAUUCUUCUUGGCCUCUCUGUGCAGGAUUCCUUCCUUCUGGGCACGGGGUGGGACCCUCUCUGGAAUGGGUAUCUUACGACAGUCAAACACGGUAGGUCAGAUCAUUUCUUUCCAACCAGUUUUUACACAGAAAGGGGAAUGGGGAGUGAGAGGACUAUUUUUAGGUUUUAUGGCUGGCUUUGGGUAAAACCGGUUCUGGUUUCUGAUGACCUGCCUUGGGGAAGAGGGAUUCUAGUUUCUAUGGGUAGCCUUGGGGGAGAAUGAAAAGCCAGAAACAAGAGGGCAGGAGAAGGUCAGAGAGAAACUUUUGCUUCUGGGGCUGCUUCUGAGGCCUUCCUUUUAAAGUUAUCAGAGAUGAUCAGGGGCAUCCUGGCUCCAGGUAAGGUCUCCUGACGUGAGUGUGCUGGUCUUCCACACUGGAUGCCGAGCCUUUUAAAGGGUGGUUUUCAACCUUGGCUGCAUAUUGGAAUCACUCCAGGAGCUUUAAGAAAUAUUGUUGGCCUGGUGCUGUGGCUCAUGUCUGUAAUCCCUGAGCUUUGGAAGGCUGAGCCAGAACAGCUUGCAGCCAGUUUGCAGCUGCAGUGAGCCAUGACUGGGGCCACUAAUUACACUCUAGCCUAGGUGACAGAGCAAGACCCUGUACAUAAAGAAAAAAAAAAAGCAGAAACUCAGGCCCACCCAGACUGCCCACUGGAAUCUUGAGAGCUGCAAAUCAUUGAUUUUCAGCACAAACAAUUUUGCUCACCCCGGACACGGAGAGACUUGAACAAACACUAGCAUAGUUUCUAGCAGCUCAAGGCCCUGUCUCAGGGAUAACCCAGGCCCCUUUGGGUCCCUGCCUGGGGAAGCUCAAGGCUGCCAAAAGAAUUUACCAUUUGUUUCAGCCAAUGCCUGAUCAUAGGUUUCUAAUCUCCCUCGUUUUUCUUGAGAUGGAGUCACACUCUGUCACCCAGGCUGAAGUGCAGUGGCGUGAUCCCGGCUCACUGCACCCUCCGCCUCCUGGGUUCAAGCGAUUCUCCUGCCUCAGCCACCCGAGUAGCUGGGAUUACAGGUGCGCGCCACCACAACAGGCUAACUUUUGUAUUUUUAGUAGAGACAGGGUUUCACCAUGUUGGCCAGGCUGCUCUUGAACUCCUGACCUCAGGUGAUGCACCCACCUUGGCCACCCAAAGUGCUGGGAUUAUAGGCAUGAGCCAUGGCACCCAGUCCCUCCCUCUUCUUAGAGGACAUACUUUAUAAAAUUUACAAUUGUAAAUCCUUUCUGUCCCUUUGGGGGAUAUAUGUAUCUUCUGCUGCACAGGAAUGUGUUUCUCACUUUUUCUGGGAGCCAUCCCUUUGUCAUAUAAUUAUCAGGAAUGAUAAGGCCGACUCCUGGUCUCUGUGGGAGGCUAGGAUCCUAACUUUGAUAAAUAAAUUUGAGAGUUAGUAGACACAGAUAGCCGAAUCACAUUGACCAAUCUCCUUACCAGCUUUUUGUAAUUUUGCACUUCCCUAGUUCUAUUUGAACCUCCUCCCUCCCCUCUUUAAAAUUCCAUCACCUCUGCACAGAUUGGAGCUAAGCUCAGUUCUAUACUGAGGACUCUCUCCUUCUGCAGUAGUUAUUGAGUAAAAUCUGUCAUUAUUGCCUUUAGCGUCCAGCUUUUUAAGUCUCCAUUUUAAUAAGGUCCUUAUGUGAUGUGCAUGUACAUUACAGUCUGAGAAGCAGUGUCAUAAUAUUUAUCAUUCCCUCAGUGACUUAUCAUAAACAGCCCUGAAUGGGAAGGAAUCACGCCCAUUUUGCCAAUGAGUUAGAUCUUUGCUUAAGAUCACACUGGUAAACUAGAAAUUGAUUAUGCCUCAUGACUCAAUCCAGUGCUCUUUCCAAAAUGACAUGCUAAUCAGAAAGAGAAGACCACACUGCACGUGAGGACCCAGGGGAAAAAAGUUGGUGAGAGCUCACAAAAAACCAAACAUGUUUCUCUUGAUGCAUCUCCAUUGGUGCAAUGUCCUCUCAGGUUUUUUUUUUUGAUAUGGAGUUUCGCUCUUGUUGCCCAAGCUGGAGUGCAGUGGCACGAUCUCGGCUCACUGCAACCUCUGCCUCCUGGGUUCAAGCGAUUCUCCUGCCUCAGCCUCCCAAGUAGCUGGGAUUACAGGCAUGUACCACCCCGUCUGUCUAAUAUUUUGUAUUUUUAGUAGAGAUGGGGUUUCACCAUGCUGGCCAGGCUGGUCUCGAACUCCUGACCUCAAGUGAUCCUUCUACCUCGACUUCCCAAAGUGCUAGGAUUACAGGCGUGAGCCACCACACCUGACCUCAGGUUCUUCUUUAGUUGCAAGAGAACUGUUUCACCAUCAAGUGUCUUAGGUAUUAAAGUUCUAAGUUUAGGUACUGAGUUAUCCUAUCAGUAGCUGGAGUCCCAAGGAUGACAGGUACCAACCCUGUGCAAGUACCAAAGGCUAUGGCCUCAAAUGCUGCAGAAGCCCAGCCCUUUAAGGGCCCAUGCAUACCCCAUGCAACCACUGCUACAUGAAGUCAGGUGCAGGCAUGGUCUUAGUGGGUCUUAGUCCCGAACCACUCAACCCUAACUCACUCUGCAUACUCAAUCCCGAUGCUCUCCUACUUUCCCAGCUUUACCUCCAACAUCAGUAUCCAUUCUUGCUUUCCUGGGUAAACACUGAUUCCUUUCUCCUCCUGGCUGGGCCAGUCCCCUGGGUAAACACUAUUUCCUAUUUCCACCCCCACCUUUCUACUCCUGGGCCAGUUUGAUGCCUUGAGUAGACUCCCUGUGGCCGAGCUCCCUGGUAGGUCUUGAUGAUGUCACUCAAACUUACACGACAAAAUUCAAACAAAAAAGAUAAAGUUAUAUUUCAUCAUCUCUAUGUCCUUUCUUCUGAUUUGCCAAAUUAGGCUAAAAGACCAAUAGAAAAACAGCUACCAAUUUUAAACACCAAAGUCAUUCCUCUAGGAAAGACAGCAAAAUUACUAACGUGAAUGACAGGAUGAAUUUUUCCUGGUCAUUUUCAAACCACUUAGAUAGCUAGAACCAGAGGAAUCCCCCGAGGCACUUUACCCCUCAGCCAUGGAGAAUGCUGACUUUUUUUACUUUCAGCCAAUUAUAUGGUAAAUAUAAUUAUUAGUUUUAUCAGAAAAUCUUAUACAUACAGGUGAUUUCUGAUGCAUAAUUUUAUUAAAGCCAGAGAUGGACAUUUUUUCUAGAGAAACAGAUCUCUGAGGUUAGAAUGGAAGAUAAUGAAACAAGAGAUUUCACUUUAUAAUUUACCUUUGUCAAACUAUCCCAGAGCAUGUCAAUUCUAUUAUGAAA
rnacentral:lncRNA from 10 species